rnacentral:rRNA from 1 species
UGAGUAACGCGUGGGUAACCUGCCCUGUACAGGGGGAUAACAGUCAGAAAUGACUGCUAAUACCGCAUAAGACCACAGCACCGCAUGGUGCAGGGGUAAAAACUACCGGUGGUACAGGAUGGACCCGCGUCUGAUUAGCUGGUUGGUGAGGUAACGGCUCACCAAGGCGACGAUCAGUAGCCGGCUUGAGAGAGUGAACGGCCACAUUGGGACUGAGACACGGCCCAAACUCCUACGGGAGGCAGCAUG